GCAUGAUUUAUUAUUAUUUUUAACAGAACAAAUGUUUUGAACGUAAGGAAUUAAUGUGUUCCUUUUUUUUGGAUAUUUUUUAUAUUUAUUGUGCUGAUCUAACAGAUUUUGAAAAAAAAAGCAUUCGCUAUAUAUAUUCUACUCCCUCCAUUCUUAUGCAAAUCGACGGAGGGCUAUUCCUCUUUGCAAGAGGUAGAUGUCAUACAGAUUGGAAUAUAUUUACUGCUAUCCUUUAGGUCAAUCCUGACAACGAGACGGAGCAACGUCGAGAGCCAUCAGGCUAGCGUCGGAGGUGAUGUCCUCAUCGAUGGCC
rnacentral:lncRNA from 1 species